rnacentral:tRNA from 1 species
GUGGGUAUAGCCCAGUGGUAGAGUACAUGCUUAUUAGCAGGCAUGAGGCCCUAGGUUCAAUCCCCAGUAUUUCCA